rnacentral:lncRNA from 1 species
AAAAUAGUCGUCGAUUGAUUCACCAUUGUUUAUCUGUAAGCCUAGUUAGUAAAUUCGUGAAUAAUUUGCGAAUUAUUCGUGAAUUUUUGAAGAUACGAAUUAAACGGCCGUUUCCGUAUUUUUCCGAAAAAUUCGGAAAAAAACGCGUAUUUUUCAUACGCGAAUUAUUCGCGAUUCGCAAAUUAUUCGGCAAAAAAAACGGCAAUGGCAAUCGCGGCAGCCGGUCGCAUCGUCGCCGCUCUGGUCGUCGAACUCAUCGGUGUCGUCGUCCUCUUCCUUCUUCGCCGCCCUGGCCGGCACAGAGAGCAAGAGGGCUGCGGGUUGCGUCGUCCGUCUCGCCCGAGGUCGUCCGAGGAAAAUCGCGGUGUUGGGUCGUUGGAAAAUCGC